rnacentral:rRNA from 1 species
UACGUAGGGGGCUAGCGUUGUCCGGAAUCAUUGGGCGUAAAGAGCGUGUAGGCGGCCCGGUAAGUCCGCUGUGAAAGUCGGGGGCUCAACCCUCGAAUGCCGGUGGAUACUGUCGGGCUAGAGUGCGGAAGAGGCGAGUGGAAUUCCUGGUGUGGCGGUGAAAUGCGCAGAUAUCAGGAGGAACACCAGUGGCGAAGGCGGGCACCUGGGCCGACACUGACGCUGAGGCGCGAAAGCUAGGGGAGCAAACAGG